rnacentral:lncRNA from 1 species
AAAAGCUAUAAAAAAAGACUUUUAUUUUGGCGUGGUGUGUGACGUCAUCAGGUGGCGCCGCUUCAGCGCUUUGAUUCAACUGGAGAAAGUUGUAUUAUUAGUCUCCCUUUUCUCUACCUUCUUAAGGUUUUUGCUUUUCUUGUUUUUUUACUGUCUGUAAAGCGUCCUUGAGCA